rnacentral:rRNA from 1 species
UGGGGAAUAUUGCACAAUGGGGGGAAACCCGUGAUGCAGCGACGCCGCGUGAGUGAAGAAGUAUUUCGGUAUGUAAAGCUCUAUCAGCAGGGAAGAUGAUGACGGUACCUGAGUAAGAAGCCCCGGCUAACUACGUGCC